UCCGCCCGGGGACUACAAGCACCAGCUUCAAACCCAAAGGACUUGGCGGCGCUUUAAACCCACCUAGAGGAGCCUGUCCUAGAACCGACACCCCCCGUUCAACCUCACCACUUCUUGCCUUACCCAAUCCGCCUAUAUACCUCCGUCGUCAGCUUACCCUGUGAAGGCCCAAUAGUAAGCUAAAUUGGCACAGCCCAAAACGUCAGGUCGAGGUGUAGCGUACGAAGUGUGCAAGAGAUGGGCUACAUUUUCUGAACCAGAAAACUACGGAAGAUAAAAUGAAAAACCAUCUGAAGGAGGAUUUAGCAGUAAGAGGGGAAUAGAGCGCCCCCCUGAAACCGGCCCUAAAGCGCGCACACACCGCCC
rnacentral:rRNA from 1 species